AUGGCCAGUCUUUCCCCUAGCUGGGCUGUGACCCUGGAAAAGCCCUCAGUCCCUGGAGGGGAGGAGCAGGAGCCAGUAGCAAGAGGAGUCAUUGGAUUGAGGGCAGAGAGAGUGUUGGUGUCAGACCUACACUGUGCUGCCAAAUGGAUGUUCCAGGGCUGUGAGCACUCUGUUCUGUGCCUUUGCUCAUCCUUAACACACAGGGCAGCAGUUAAGGUUUGUUUCAAGGUGGUGUGGAUGAAGGAGGCAGGGAUGAAAUUGGGUUCAAUCUGCUGGCUGGAGAAACAGCAGGAGGGGAAGGAGAAGGUCACCAGUUUGUCCCUGUGGGACUUGGCCCAUGAAGGACAGUGCAGCCACCAGCUCCCGUGGUCUUUCCGUGGGACUUUCAGCUCCCAUAGGCACCUUGAAACAUCCCAUUGGCCUUUUGUCUUCAUUGGGCCACAGUCUCUGAUUGCUGCUCAAAUGAGUAGGAAGGCAGGAUGGCAGCGAGCCAAGAAGUUGCAAGAAGAGAAUGGAAGACAUGAAGAUUUUGGUAAGGUGUAUCUCCCAGGCAUGGCUUGCCCCUGUCUAGAUGGUGUUUUGGCACCAGGGAUAUCAAGGGGAAUGCUGUAUUCUAAAGAAACAUAUCCUUUUUUCUUCUUCUUCUUUUAUUUUUUUCUUUUCUGGUCAAUAAAACUGCAGUUUGACUUUAGGGUGAAGAUUUGGAUCAAUUCUCAUUUUCUACAAAAUGAUUCACUCUUAUACACCGAGGAAUAGAAUUGAAAAUGUAAUCUAUCUUGUUGAGAGGUAGAGUCAGGGUCAUGAAAAUUAACCCCCAAGUGUUGCUUAGCAUGCCUUUUCACAUGCCAGCAAAUAGCAGAGAACAUCUUUGGAUUUCUAAACAGUAAUUUAGAAAAAAAAAUACAGUCAGUCUUGGCUAGGCAGCCGAAGGGAUCCUGCCACAAAAUCACUUUUCCUUGCAAUGCAAAGUAACCGAGAAAAACCCUUCUCAGAAGUGAUUCACAAGCAAAUACUAUUGCCAGGAAAAACUGAGAUCUGGAUGAAUGUGUCUCACUACAAUAUGUUUUAAAGCAAGGAAAUGAAUGGUAUUCAAAAAAUUUUUGGUGGCAAAUAGCAGGAGUUCAUACCUUGGGAAUGAGGCUGGGUCACAUCUUAGCAUGCUGGCUCCAGAACUUGGCUGACUUCUAUGCUCAUCACCGAACAACAUAGAAGUGGUCAGCUCUAAAUUACUAUUAUCUUACUCACCAUCUGGAUUCCUACAGCACUUGAGAGAGUCCCAGCUGUGGAUUGGGAUAUCACUGUAAAAACAGUAUAACAAGUGAUCCCAACAGUUUCCAACCUAAGGAAGAAAAGUUUUAGAAUAGGAGCGAUAGAUGACUGUGGAACGACAAAGUGGUGUCCAUCAACAUGAUGGCCAUGAAAUACAUCCAUCAGCACCUUAGCAACAAAGGCAAGUUCAAAGGAGGGCGAUGAAAGCUCUCUGCAGAGAGUCUCUAGGUGUCCACCAGAAAACACAAAGGUGCUGCUUUGAAAAUCAUGCCAGUGAGAAGCAGAGGAUGGUGUAGGGCAGGUUUGAGAAAGGAAUUAGCGAUGACAAGGAACAGGCCGCAGAGGCCUUGAAAAUUCAGUCUGACUGCUAUAACUGAUGCAAUUAAUAGAAAGAUAAAACCACACAGGUGUGCCAGGCAGAGUGAAGGUCCGGGAAAAUGCUGUGAACAGAUUUGUGUUUGCCAAGGCUAGGGAGAAGGUUGCUGCA
rnacentral:lncRNA from 1 species